CAGGUAGACACAGAGACAGAGACACAGAGACACGAGAGACACAGGUAGCACACAGUGAGCACAGGUAGACAGGUAGACACAGUCCACUGCGUGACGUUGUCUCACGCACUCAGGUGGAGGUGCCCAGGGGAGAGCUCAUUGCCGAAAUCAAGAGGAGACUGGCAAAGCGUGACCCCUCACGUGACCCCUCGUGACCCCUCAGGAGCACGUUGCCGUGGGAUAACGACGACGUGGAGACCGUGCGACCGAGCAGACAACGGCGGCGUUGGAGACGGCGCCGACGUCCCGAGGUCCCUCUCGACAGCCCCGAGGUCCCUCUCGACAGCCCCGAGGUCCCUCUCGACAGCCCCGAGUUCCCUCUCGACAGCCCCGAGGUCCCUCUCGACAGCCCCGAGGUCCCUCUCGACAUCCCCGAGGUCCCUCUCGACAGCCCCGAGGUCCCUCUCGACAGCCCCGAGGUCCCUCUCGACAGCCCCGAGGUCCCUCUCGACAGCCCCGAGGUCCCUCUCGACAGCCCCGAGGUCCCUCUCGACAGCCCCGAACACCCCGUCCUUCUCCGCUUUUACCCUCGCGGAUUCUCCGGGGGAAUUUCUCCCCGGCCGUCUCUUUUUGAACACUCCGGGGCCAGACGCGGGCAAGGCCGUAUGCGGCCCGCUGGGCUUCUUAAUCCGGCCCGCCGAACUCGUCCAAACAUUAUUAUUAUUAUUUCGAUUUGAAGCUUUCGUGGACUGCAAGGAUUCAUCUUCUUUGGUUCUUUCGGUAAAGUCGCCACCACGUAGAAUGAGAAUAAAACAAUAAAAUAAAACAAUAAAAUAAAACAAUAAAAUUCUCACGACGUUUUGUAACUCUGUUAGUACCGACAGGUCCGUUCCUUUCACCUGAAGAAGGCCGCUUGCGUUGUGGCCGAAACGUCACGAGAAUUUCAUUGUUUUAUUUUAUUGUUUUAUUAUUUUAUUUUAUUAUUUCAUUCUCAUUCUACGUGGUGGUGACUUCACCGAAAGAACCAAAGAAGAAGAUUAUAAUUAUCAUUAUUAUUAAAUAAAAUUUUACCUUUCUCCUGUAAUGCCCCCACUUUUCCACCAUUAGGUGGCGCGCUUUGACCGGGAGUUUAAGGCGUUGUCCUUCGCAUCGUCCGCGAUCGUGAAAUUUGUUCAAUCGCCGUGCAAAUAAACGCUUUGCUUACCCGUCAAAGGCCAAACCCU